CCCUUAGAUGUUCUGGGCCGCACGCGCGCUACACUGACGAAUGCAACGAGUUUAUAACCUUGGCCGAAAGGUCUGGGUAAUCUCCAAAUUUCGUCGUGAUGGGGAUAGAUUAUUGCAAUUAUUAAUCUUCAACGAGGAAUGCCUAGUAAGCGCAAGUCAUCAGCUUGCGUUGAUUACGUCCCUGCCCUUUGUACACACCGCCCGUCGCUCCUACCGAUUGAAUGGUCCGGUGAAGCGUUCGGACCGUGGCCUUUGGACGGUUCGCCGUCUGUUGGCUGCGGGAAGUUCGUUAAACCUUAUCAUUUAGAGGAAGGAGAAGUCGUANCA
rnacentral:rRNA from 1 species